UACGUAGGGUGCAAGCGUUAAUCGGAAUUACUGGGCGUAAAGCGCGCGCAGGUGGACAAGUAUGUGCCGUGUGAAAGCGCCGUCCUUACGAUGGCGAGGUCGUGGUAGACAGCUUGUCUAGAGGCUCAGAGAGGUCGAUGGAAUUCCCGGUGUAGUGGUGAUAUGCGUAGAUAUGCGGAGGAACACCGAUGGCGAAGGCAAUCCCCUGGGCCUGUACUGACGCUCAUGCACGAAAGCGUGGGGAGCAAACAGG
rnacentral:rRNA from 1 species